rnacentral:piRNA from 1 species
UCACAUUUCAGGUCGACCUCACAGAGAAU